rnacentral:rRNA from 1 species
GACGAACGCUGGCGGCGUGCUUAACACGUGCAAGUCGAACGGAAAGGCCCUGCUUUUGUGGGGUGCUCGAGUGGCGAACGGGUGAGUAACACGUGAGUAACCUGCCCUUGACUUUGGGAUAACUUCAGGAAACUGGGGCUACUACCGGAUCGGAGCUCCUGCUGCAUGGUGGGGGUUGGAACGUUUCGGCGGUUGGGGAUGGACUCGCGGCUUAUCAGCUUGUUGGUGGGGUAGUGGCUUACCAAGGCUUUGACGGGUAGCCGGCAUGAGAGGGUGACCGGGCACAAGGGGACUGAGGGACGGACCAGACUCGAAUGGGAGGCAGCAGGGGGGAAUAUGACACAAUGGGCGGGAGCCGGAGGCGGCAACGCCGCGUGUGUGAUGACGGCCUGCGGGUUGUAAACCGCUGUCGCCUGUGACGAAGCGUGAGUGACGGUAAUGGGUAAAGAAGCACCGGCUAACUACGUG